rnacentral:lncRNA from 10 species
UCCUGCUGCCCAUGUAAGACAUGCUUGCUUCCCCUUUGCCCUUUCAGCAUAAUUGUAAGCUUCCUGAGGCCUUCCCAGAAGCAGAAGCCUGUACAGCCCAUAGGACCAUGAGCCAAGAAAACCACUUUUCUUUAUAAAUUACCCAGUCUCAGGUAUGUCUUUAUAGCAGUGUGAGAAUGGACUAAUACAGAUAGCUAUUAUCAAAAAGUCAAAAGUAAAUGAUGGUGAGGGUGUAGAGAAAAAUCAACUCUUGUACACUCUUGGGAAUGUAGAUUGGUAUAGCGAUUAUGGAAAAUAAUAUGGAGGUUUUAAAGAAAUUGAAAAUAGAACUACCAUAUGGCCCAGCAAUCCUUCUUCUGGGCAUUUACACAGAGAAAAUGAAAAUUUUCACCACAUAAAGAUAUCUACACUCCCAUGUUCAUUGCAAUAUUACUUAUAAUAGCCAAGAUAUGGAAACCAUCUAAGUGUCUGAGGACAAACUAAUGAAUAAAGAAACUGUGGUACAAUGGAAUAAUAUUCAGUCCUAAAAUGAGAAUGUGAUGUUGCCAUUUCCCACAAUGUGGAUGAGUUUGGAGGACAUUAUGCUAAGUGAAAUACAUCAAACACAGAAAGAAAAAUACUGCAGCAUCUUAUUUAUAUGGAAAAUUGAAAAAAAAUAUUUCCACACAGUUACAUAGCAAAAGAGUGAAUACCAGGAAGGCAAGAAGAGAAAAUGGAGAGACAUAGGGUCAGAGAAGGCAAAGCAGCAGAUAUGUAGGAUGAAAAGUCUCAAGAUUUAAUGGGCAACAUGAAAAUUGUAGUUAAUAAAAUUAUACUGCAUAUGGGAAUUCAUGCUAAAUGAGUAGAUUUUAGCUAAUCUUGCCACAAAAACAAAAAUAGGUAACCAUGUGAGAUGAUAGACAUGUUAAUUUGCUUCACUGUAGUAAUCUUUUUACUCCCUGUAUAUAUGCCAUAAUAUCAUGUUGAUACCUCAAAUACAUACAGCAAUUUUUCAAAAAAAAUUGACAUAUAUUAAAGAGGGCAGAAGUUUGUUUUCAGGGAUUUGAAUCGGACCCCCCUAUAGGAAAUUUAUUUGUAAGAGAUCAGAAAAAAAGAAAGUACAUUAUAAGUCAAAUAUAUCUUAAAGUAUAGUUCUCAAUUUUUAUACCAAAUAUAAGAUAGAGCCAAUUAUCAUUCAUCUAUAUAUUUUGUUGUUUAUAAAUGUUGAGAGAAAUUUUAUUGACCCAUAAUGAAGGAAUAAUAUCUUGCCCUAGCUCUGAAAAGUAAAUCAUUUAACAAAAUGAGAAAGGUUGCUUGAGAAUACAUUAUGCCCAAAAUUUCCACUUCCAGAAAAUAACAAUGAUGACAUUUAAUCUUUGAAUAUUUAUGUUGAAAAGCCUUUCAAGUAUUUUAAGGAAUCUGCUUCUGAAAUUCUUCAAUAUGGAUUAAUAAUGAGUAGGCAAAUGGGAAACUCAGUACAUGGUGAUAGGACUAAACAAAUGAAUGUAAAGUAUGAAAAUGUUUUAUUCACACAUAGUUUACAAUAUUUAGCACCACGUACUACAAAUCUCAAUAGACUUUUCUGUAACUUAAAUUAAUUUUUCAAAAAUCACUUUGAUGCUACAUUUCUCUCUUUUGCUUAGAAGUAAAAUAAGUUGUUACCAUCUUUUCAAUAAAACACAGAUCCCCAGACAAUUGCUUAGCCCUCUGUAAUUUACAACCUUUCUGAAGAACUCCAAAGCUGCAAUCCAUUUUGCCAAGGGGUUACUGCAGUCACAGCUACUGGCAGUUCUCCAAGCCAUAUAGGCGAGCACAGAGCAGAAGGCUAGAUCUCCAAGGACCUGAACAAUCUCCUUAAGAAUUGAGUGUGUUGGCUGUACAAUCCUCAUCUGAAAAGUUCAGUGACCAUGAAAUCCCCUGGGAUUUUAUUCUCCAUCAUCACUUGCAGGACUCAAAUACAUUCCCACUGGCAAGGCAGGCAGUGCUCCGGUGUUCUAGUAACAAACAAAGGGAAUCUGGCCUUGAUUUUGGUUAGUCGCUAUUUUAAGUCUUCCUUCUAUUCCAAAGCAUUUGAGAACCUCUAUACUUGCUCUUAUCUUGUCUUCAGACUUUCCAAAGUGCUUGAGUUGACAACUUGCUAAACAGGAAAAUUACCCUGAAGCCAGCAAGUCUCAGAGGCUCACCCUCGGCCCACGAUGUAGUACUUGGGUAUUGCUGCUGGUUAUUCAGGACCCAAGGACUCUUCAGUUAGCAGGUGAUGAAUGCCGCCAGGAGUAAGUCCUUCCCUUCAAGGCAGUGAGUUCCUUUCUGGCCCGGGGUGUGCCAAAGAAUUGCAGUCUUUGUGACCUAGGCUACCUUUCAAGUUUACUUAGAAACCUACAGCACUGUAGCCUUUGGUGGUGAGGUUUGCAGGAACUCAAGUUCUGACAGCUGGUAUCGGGGAUUCCGCUAUGGCUAGUACUGGUUUAAAUGCUGCUUAGGUGGGCAGGUGUCAGCUGAGUUUGGUCUGGUUUUCCUUUCUGCUCUAACAGGACAGCACGGAAUUCAAUGCAUCACAAGUGAUUUGAGUUUUCUGGAGUUUCAACAGCACCUGGAGCUGCUCUCUGCACCACCAGCACCUGGAGAUGCUCUCUACACCACUAGCACCUGGAGAUGCUCUCUACCCCACUAGCACCUGGAGAUGCUCUCUACCCCACUAGCACCUGGAGAUGCUCUCUGCACCAUGCUGCUGCUGGGGGGGGCGGGGAAGCUGUGACGUCUGUGAGGCAAGGCUAUUUUUUUCUAUCUCUUCAGUGCCUCUUUCAGUGCUAUGAAGUUAAAACCAGGUACUAUGAGUGCUCACUUGAUUUUUGUUUUUUAUGAAGGUAUUUUUUUCUGUGUAGAGGGUUGUUAACCUGCUGUCCUUGCAGGGGCAAUGAUUGGUGGACACUUCUAUUCUGCCAUCUUGCUCCAGCUAAUAUUCUGAAAUUUGGAAGUCAUGGUCCCAGCUUCUGGUUUUCAAAUGGCAACCACACAGGUCUGAAUACCAAAAAAAAAAAAAAAUCUUCAGAUAAGCCUUUCAAGAUCACUCAAUCAAGGACAAUCAUAAAUUAUGUAGACAAUUAUAUUUGCCUAAAUAAAAAUGUUAAAGUUAAAACAUUCUCCCACCCGGAAGAGUAGACAUCCAUAUCCAAGUACAAAAAAAAAAAAAAAAAAAAAAAAAACAGGCCACAUUUUCUCUUUUCUUUUUUUCUUUUUUUUCUAAUAUUAAGUUUCGAGUAGCUGGGACUACAGACACGUGCCACCAGGCAUGGCUAAUUUUUGUAUUUUUCGUAGAGGUGGGAUCUUGCUAUAUUGCCCAGGCUGGUCUAGUGCUCCUGGGUUCAAGCAAUCUGCCUGCCUUGGCCUCCCAAAGUGUUGAAAAUUACAGGCAUGAGUCACCACACUUAGACUGGACUUUCUUUCUUCACCCAUCUCCAUCUCUUUCUUCUCAAAGUCAAAAGCGUUAGAGGAAAGAGAUAGAGAUAAUAAAAACGAAAUGCCAAUAUUUGUUUUCAGCUCUUUUAGCAAGCACCUCAUGAUAAAAAUACCGUUUAAGGAGAGAAGUUACCACA